rnacentral:rRNA from 1 species
GACGGAGGGUGCAAACGUUGCUCGGAAUCACUGGGCAUAAAGCGCACGUAGGCGGCCAACUAAGUCAGGUGUGAAAUCCCUGGGCUCAACCCAGGAACUGCGUCCGAUACUGGUUGGCUUGAAUCCGGGAGAGGGAUGUGGAAUUCCAGGUGUAGCGGUGAAAUGCGUAGAUAUCUGGAGGAACACCGGUGGCGAAGGCGACAUCCUGGACCGGUAUUGACGCUGAGGCGCGAAAGCCAGGGGAGCAAACGGG